UGGUGCGGUCAUACCAGCGCUAAUGCACUGGAUGCCAUCGGAACUCCGAAGUUAAGCGUGCUUGAACGAUGUAUAAUAGUUUUAUACAUACCUGCUCUGA
rnacentral:rRNA from 1 species